GUAGUCCCAGCUACUCGGGAGGCUGAGGCAGGAGAAUCACUUGAACCCAGCAGGCAGAGGUUGCAGUAAGCUGAGAUCGUGCCACCGCGCUCCAGCCUGGGUGACAGAGUGAGUCGUCUCAAAAAAAAAAAAAUUAAAUAAAAAAUAAAAUUUUGGUUUUCAUUUCUGACUCCUGGCCAGAGGUCCUAAAACCGUUGAAAUUUCCUAAGUGAUAAGAGUGAAAGUGGUAUCUUGUUAUUCAUAACAAGCCCCUUUCAAUCACAUCUGAGAUUAUAUUAAUGAAGUGACUUUUGGAGAGCCCGAAAAUGGGAGGGGGGGGGGGGCGCUGGUUGCUAGGGCAACUAACCAAGUGAUUAGAGGAUUGGAACUUUCAGCCUCACACUAUGACCUCCAGGGAGGAGAAAGGGGCUGGAUAUUACCAGUGGGCAAUGGCCUAAUCAAUCAUGCUUACCUAAUGAAGCCUCAAUAAAAAAACCCUAACCAAAGGAGUUUGGAGAGCUUCCAGGUUGGUGUUGGAAGGAUUGAGCUCCCGGAGAGGGCCUUGAAGGUCCGUAUCCCUUCCCCAAACUGAGAAAUGUAAGAAUUAUUUCUAAGUUCUGUGAGCUGUUCUAGCAAAUUAUUGACUCUAAGGCGGUUGUGAGAACCUCUGUGCUGUGGUCUGAAUGUUUGUGUCCUAUCAGAAUUCAUAAAUUGGAAAUCCCCAAGUUGAUGGUAUUCAGAGAUGGGGCCUUUGGGAAGUGACUACGUCAUGGGAUUAGUGCCCUUACAAAAGAAACCCAGGAGAGCUUGUGAGUCCCUUCUGCCAUGUGAGGACAGCUCUGUCUACAAACCAGGAAACAGGCCCUCACCAGACACCCAUUCAGCUGGUACCUUGAUCCUGGACUUUCCAGCUUACACAAAUGAGAAAUAAGUUUCUGGUGUUUGUAAGCUACCCAGUUAAUGGCAUGUUAUAGCAGCUCAAAUAGAUGAAGACACCCCGAUUCAUAGCCAGUCUAUCAGAAGUACAGGAGACCCUGGACUUGCUAUUGGUAUCUUAAAUUGGAGGUAGUCUUGUGAGACUGAGCCCUUAACCUGUGGGAUGUGCAAUAAUGUUGGAUAAUUAGUGUCCACACUGAAUUAAAUUGUAGGAUACCCAGUUGGUAUCUGCAGAGAAUUAGAGAAUUGUUUGGUUUGAAGCCCCUCCACCCCCAACAUUUGGUUCAAAGUAUUAUGAAUAGAGGAACAGUUUUAUUUGUAGGCAAAGAUUUUUGUCUGUUUUGUUUUAUAAUAUAUCGCAAGCAUCUAGAACACUGCCUGGUACAGAGUUGGUACUCAAUAAAUUAUGAAUGAAUAUGCAUUUUGCCAGAAUUUGUGCCAGGUACUGGGCAUAUAGUUGUGAAAAAGCGGAGAUGGUUCCUGGCCUCUUAGAACGUCCAGCCCAGCACUACACAGUCUGGUGAUUUUUCUGCCUGCCUGGGCUGCCCUCCUCUAACAUCAGAGUGCCUAAUUGCUGAGCUCAGAGUAGACUUUCCUCUUAGCAGUGAGUACUUUUCAGAUAGUUUUGUUUUUCUGCUUUUUUUAAUUCUAAAAAAAUGGGGGGGGGAGUGUAAUGCAUUCUAUUUAGUCACUCUAAGUUAAAAGUCCACAAUUUUCCUCAAUACAGAGACAAAAUAGUGUUGUCUUUAAAGCUCCAGCCUGGUAGAAAGCCGAAAGAAGUCGUGAGGCAAUCACACCAUCACGGGAAACUCCAAGGUUGGGAAUAUACCUGAAAAGUGGAAAGAAUUCGGGAAGAAUACUGCUGCACAGAUAUGAGACUGAACAAAAUGACUUUUAAUAGCCCUUCAAAAUCUCAGACUCUUGGUCUAGAUAAUACGAACUCCUAGAUACCAUUUGGCAACGUUUAUUUAAAAAAAUUCAGUUGAUAACAUUUUGUGUAUAUACAUCUUCUAGAUAAUUAUUUUAAUUCUUCACCUCACCUUGUCAAAUGUAUUCUAACUUAAGUUUGAUAUUUCAUCUGAAUUUCCUUCCCUGCACAAAAAUUCAGAUGCGGAUAUGAAUUGUUUUGCCCCAUAAUCUUGUUGUCAGAAAAAAAUUGAUGAAGGGAAACUCUCAUGGAAAUAGCUUUGAUUAGUUAUAAACAACUUCAGUGUGUCCUAUAAGCCCAUGAUAUGACAUCAAGAUCUACUCUGUAAGAUUAAAAAAAAGUUUUCUUGCA